rnacentral:tRNA from 1 species
GGACCUCUAGCCCAAUUGGAAGAGGCACAGGAUUUAGGUUCCUGUUAGUGCGCGUUCGAAUCGCGCGGGGUCUAC